GUUUGGUUUAGGUGGAAAAUAAUUUUGCACCUGUCUCGUUUCGUAAUUGUGUACGUCAUCGGUUCUUUGAAAUAAACUAUUUGAUAUGGAGCGAGGAACCAUUGAAUUUCUAACUUUGAACAUUAGUGUAGCAAGUUGUUGGUUCCUACGAGUCUCCAGAUUGUCAAGGUUUAGGUGUUGUAGAAGAACACAGGAGCGGACAUCAUAUCCACACUUAGUGAUAAUGCGCGCAGCUCUGUUUUG